rnacentral:rRNA from 1 species
CCCUUAGAUGUUCUGGGCUGCACGCGCGCUACACUGAUGCGCUCAACGAGUUUACGACCUUGCCCGGAAGGGUUGGGUAAUCUUUUUAAAACGCAUCGUGAUGGGGAUAGAUUAUUGCAAUUAUUAAUCUUUAACGAGGAAUUCCUAGUAAGCGCGAGUCAUCAGCUCGUGCUGAUUACGUCCCUGCCCUUUGUACACACCGCCCAUCGCUCCUACCGAUUGAGUGAUCCGGUGAAUAAUUCGGACUGCAGCAGUGUUCAGUUCCUGAACGUUGCAGCGGAAAGUUUAGUGAACCUUAUCACUUAGAGGAAGGAGAAGUCGUAACA